rnacentral:lncRNA from 1 species
CCACUUCCCUUCACACUCGUUCAGCCUGAAUUUCACGAGUCUUCUGCGCCACCCUUCCUCAGGGCUCGUCUUGCUCCAGAGAUUUAUAUCAACAACGAGAAGAGUGGAGCCUUUGGGAAGGGGAAAAGCUGGAGAGCACUGAUUACCAUGGAGGGACAAGCUGGACCCGUCGGAGCCUGAGACCCAGCUCCCCCUCUGCUGCUGGCUGCUGUGAGACCUUAUUUUGGCAGGGGAUACUGCAGAUGACUGCCUAGUGGUUAUGGCCUUUGCUUGAGACAUGGAGGAUCAUUUUGUUUCCAGACCAGAACUGGGAAGGCCAGAGCUCCCAAAUGCUCAGUGAUUGACUGGUCUGGAAACAGGUACUCAGUGAGUUGGUUUUUCUUCUCUUCUUCACUCUGAUGUGAAAUUGAAGGGGGAGGAAUUUAUAUAAAACAAUUAAAAGCUGUUGGCAUUUUUGGGAAAUAUGGCUGCCCUUUAAGGGUUGUAAGUUCUG